GGAAAAAGUUUGGAAGCGGAGCGUCGGAACGGAAGUGGAGGAGGAGUUUGAACGCGGUUAGGAUGGUUCGAGGGUGAAAUUGAAUCAAGAGACGUUCAUCAGUAUGCUGUGGAUAUUGAUCGCUGUGACGUGCAUCGAGCUAUCGACCACUGCCAACGCACAGUCGAGAAAAACUACCGCUACGUCUAUGCGAGAGGAUGCGAACAACAACACCGAGCCGGAUCAUCCGAUACCCAUGGAGUCGAUACAGGGAGUGGCAGGACAGAGGGCAACUUUGCCCUGUAAUAUACAACCCCGUGAGCCGAACGAUGCCGUCUCCAUGGUGCUCUGGUUCAAAGAGGACAGCGGUGAACCUCUCUACAGCUACGACGCGAGGAAUCGACAGUUCGGCAAGGCGAAGCUGUGGAGCGCCUCCCACUUUUGGGGGGAGAGGGCAACGUUCAAAGCCAGUCAACCAGCCCAGCUGACGAUUCGAGACCUGCGGGAAACCGACCAAGGUGUUUACAGAUGCAGAGUCGAUUUUCGCAACUCGCCGACCAGGAACCUCAAGGUCAACUUCACCGUCAUCGUGCCACCGGCCAAGCCGAUCAUUUACGACGCGAAAAGGAGGGAUAUGAGCAAACUUCUCGAGGCCUAUCCAGAAGGAGCGGAUCUGUUUCUCGUGUGCGAGGUUCAUGGAGGUAAACCUAGGCCCCGGGUCACGUGGCUGCUGGAGUCGCAGACAAUCGAUGCGCCGUCGGAGAUUCGGGAGAGCCAAGGGCCAGGAGGCGAAGCCAACGUCGUGACCAUAAGCAACGUGACGCUGAAGGGUCUCACGAGGAGUCACUACCACGCCAAAUUGUUGUGCAAGGCGAACAAUACUCAUUUAGCACCGCCCCCCACCACUGCCGUCAUCAUCGAGCUUCACAUGAAACCAUUGAAAGUUGAAAUUACGAAAAGGGACGAGAUUCUCUUGGCGGGGAAGAAAUACGAAACUAGAUGUCAGAGCACGGGAUCGAAGCCGCCCGCCGUUUUAACCUGGUGGAAGGCCUCCAAGCAGCUCAAGAGGACGAUCAGAAACUUUCAGGAAGACGGAACAAGCGUGAGCGUGUUGCAAUGGACACCGUCGAUCGAAGACGAGGGGAAAUUUCUGGUGUGCAGGGCGACCAAUCCGAAGCUGCAGGACACGGGUAUCGAGGAACGAUGGAAGCUAAAAGUGCAUUUUGUUCCUGUCGUCACUCUGAAAAUGGGCACAUCGUUGAAUCCAAAGAACAUCAAGGAAGGGGACGACGUUUACUUCGAGUGCAACGUUAGGGCGAAUCCUAGGGCUUACAGAUUGACAUGGUUUCACGAGGAGGAAGAGCUCCAUUACAACGUGACCGCAGGCAUAGUGCUCUCGGACCAUUCUCUGGUGCUUCAAAGUAUAACUCGAGAAUCCGCUGGAAAAUACAGCUGCACGGCCGUCAAUGUCGAGGGUCGCGCCAGUUCCAACGUAGUGAACCUCGAGGUUAUGUUUGAAUCUAAAGACGUUGUGUGUUUCGCGUGCAAAAAAAAAACAGUCGCUCCUGUUUGCAAGCACGUGUUAAAUUCGGCCGGAUGGAGGUAUCAAAACGCGACGCCGCCACCGUUCAACGUACCCGAGGAGAUUCACGGCGCGUUGAAGCACGAAACGAUCGGUCUUGUUUGCGAGGUGGAGGCAAACCCGGCCACGGUCACCUUCCAUUGGACGUUCAACAGCAGCGGUGACCUUGUCGACAUUCCGUCCACCAAAUAUUCGAACGAAGGCACUUCGAGCAGGCUCAAUUACACCCCCUCUUCCGACCAGGAUUACGGCACGCUGGCCUGUUGGGCGAGUAAUGCGGUUGGCCCCUCGAAACAGCCCUGCCUCUACCAAGUGAUCGCAGCAGGCAGGCCGUACCCGUUGCAGAAUUGCACGGCGCACAAUCAGAGCGGCUCCUGGAUCCGGAUAUCAUGCGUGGAGGGAUACGACGGGGGUUUGCCGCAAAAAUUCGUCGCGAUCGUGGACAAGCAACGGUUGGAAUCGUCGAAUCCGUAUUGGGAGUUGGAGCUUCGAAAUCCGGCAACGGUCGCCCUAUACGCGGUCAACAUGAAGGGAUCGAGCGAUCCGGUUAUCAUGGAAGGGGAGGCGUUAAAAGGAGUGGCCAAGUUCACCGGUGCGGGAAUCGGGAUCCUCGGUGGACAUGUCACCGAUCCUGAUCGGGCUGGGCGGAACCGCGACUGGACUAGGCUUGAUCGUGACCGGUGUAUUAAUGGCACUUUGGAGGAAACACGCGGCAACACCGGCGAAAGCGAAACCGCCUCAACAGCCGAGCAUCGCGACAUUCGCCGGCAAGGGUGAAGAGGAAGACGGGAAUCCUGACCUCAUACCCACCACAGCUUUGACCAAUCAUCUCACAGGAAGCUUUUACAUUACGGUUCCCUACCACGAAGGCCGCGUCAACUCGAAGGGCGGGAAAUGGCUCAUAAUGUCGUAGAAGAUUCGGAUUAUCCUCGAGCAUCGCCAAAC
rnacentral:misc_RNA from 1 species